rnacentral:rRNA from 1 species
CCUACGGGGGUCAGCAGUGGUGGAUAUUGCACAAUGGGGGAAACCCUGAUGCCGCGACGCCGCGUUUGGGAAGACGGUCCUCUGGAUUGUAAACCACUGUCCCCAGGGACGAAGCUGACGGUACCUGGGGAGGAAGCUCCGGCUAACUACGUGCCAGCAGCCGCGGUAAUACGUAGGGAGCAAGCGUUGUCCGGAAUUACUGGGUGUAAAGGGAGCGUAGGCGGGAUGGCAAGUUGGGUGUUAAAUCUACCGGCUCAACUGGUAGUCGAACUCAAAACUGCUAUUCUUGAGUGAAGUAGAGGCAGGCGGAAUUCCUAGUGUAGCGGUGAAAUGCGUAGAUAUUAGGAGGAACACCAGUGGCGAAGGCGGCCUGCUGGGCUUUUACUGACGCUGAGGCUCGAAAGUGUGGGGAGCAAACAGGAUUAGAUACCCGGGUAGUC